ensembl:antisense 3110045C21Rik RIKEN cDNA 3110045C21 gene
AGGCUGCUGGGAGAGGCUUCGGUGCAGGAACCCAAGUCCAAGUUUGCUUCUUAGGACGUGUAAAGCAUGGUCUUUAAGAAAGAGAACCUGGAUUUCAUUGAAUUGUAUUUAUGUCGAAUCACGACAUGAACUCUGUGCAUGAAAGCAACAUCAGGAGUCUGCCUGGGUCCGAGAGGAGUUCAGCCUUACUACAGCCUCAGAUGAGAACAGGUGUGGGACCAGCUCUGAGUUAAAUGAAACCCAGAAGACUUCAGAGAAAGUCUCCCCUCCUCUAUCACUUCCAGCCCAGCCCAGUAAGGGAAACUGGGACUCUUCCUCCUUUUGUUCUACUCAAGUUGCUGCUUCCAAGGCUCUGUGACUGACAAGGGAUGAACUGGACUAUUAAUCUAAAAUGUUUAAUUUUUAAAGUCAUUUGUCAUAGAGAGUCACAACCCCGAGCAAUGAAAAUAUUUUUUAAUUCAUAGGACACCUGCUGGGAGAAGUGUGCUCCUGUUACUCAGAAUUCUGCAAGUGAAAGUAAAAUGUGUUGGGGAUAGUUCCUCCCUAAUCUCCAUUGGGAAGUUUGCAUCUGGAUCCCAGUUGUAUACAGUUUUUGUUAAUUUAUGCUUGUGUGAACAGCUGCCUGAGACAGACCAUAUUUGGAUUUAGCAAGUGUUUCUGUUCCUUCAAAAAAAAAAUAUAUCAAAACAAAACAACUCCACAGUAAUGACAAUGAAGGCUUUCAAAAGAAUUCUGGAAACUCAGGUUCCCAGAAGUGGCCCAAUAACAUGAAGAUAUGAAACAAGGUCUCUACUAUGUCAGAGACAUCGCCAUGUUAGUUAGCUGUCAACUGACAUCUAACAGAAGCCUUUUCACAUGACUCUCUGUCAGACAUCCCUGAUAACCGUGUGCACACUUUCCCUGUGUCACAUCACCACUCCACCAGUGGUGUCAGGAGGAAAGACAACAAAGGCCAGAACUGUUACUGCUGAGACAGAAAGAAGACUGUAUCAGUAGCAUGACUCUUUAAUCACUGUUAUGUACAAUUUAUCAUCUGACAGACUUACAGGGAAU